UUCCUUUCAGGGUGGCACCUGGAGGAUUUCCAGUCCUCUACCAGUCACGACUACAGGAGAGAGAGUCAAGCAGAGGCUUACCCAUUCCAUUCCUAGCUUGGGCAGUGGCUAGUGAAUGGAAGGCAAUCUGCUACAGGU